AUCAGCGGCUCUUUAAGGCAGCUUCCUCAAGGUGUUAACUCUGGGAUGAAAGGGUGUGUUCCAGAAGACUCCUAGGGUUCCUUUGUUGCUGCCCUCCCCAACAGCCGCAUUUGACCAACUGGCAUAAUUGGAGAAGUUACCCGUUAGAUGAAUACUGUUCCAGGCAGUGCCCACUUAGCCUCAUCUGGAUGCUUGAAUUUUUGAGAACAGGACUGCAGCUAGAUCCUGCCAUCUGUCUUCCUGAGCUUCUCUGGGACUGAGCACCUGAGGCCACUUUCUGCCAGCCUGCCAAGUGGAUGCAGGAUUGUUGGGUGGAAAGGGGGUGGAGAAAGGUGAAAGUAAUCACAAAGUAGCCGAAGUCCAGCUACAGCCUCUGGUCUACAGAAGUGGAUUUAUGCCUACACCCCAGAGCUGCUCCCUGUGAGGAAUGGCUAUGAAGUGUCUGAGAAAGUAACUCCAGUCUGCAUCCUUCCAUCUCACGUCAUGGCCUCAUUAUCCUGCACAGAUGUUUGUUUCCAUCUUAAGAAGACAUGGGAACACCCCGGAGACACUUCCUUCUUGAUUCCCGAAGCACUUCAAACAAGAACUAAGGGUCGUUCCUCAAAGCAUUUGAAGAUGGUUUAAAAAGUUAGAUGCCAUUUUUCUUCCUAAAAUGUGAGACCUCUUAUCUGUGUGGCAGAACAUUUCUUAGUGGAUAUUCUUGCUAACUGCAACCCACUCAGGGAUGCUUGGUGGAUACUAUCUUCUGUCUGCAUCCCCUGGGGUUUCACAGAAGUAGAACUCUGCAGACUGCUCUGCUCAUGUGAACUGUCCUCAUUCUGGCCUGGUUCUUAAAACCUUUAUAAUCAACUGGAAAAAAUGGAUGCUAAUAUCCUGGCUCCCACCCUUAGUUCUCAUACUGCCUUGCAUGCAGCAAAAUGCUCAAAGAUGGCACCAUGGAUUAAAAAUCCAGGAGGCCCUGGAGAAUUCCUGCGGAGUAAUAAGUGACCCAUUAAAGAGCCCUGAAAGUGUUUUCACUGUAAAAUGUCUGUCACCAUCAUCUCAGAUAUUUUUUAUAGAGUACUAGUAGUAAGACAUUAAAAAUGACAAAAAUGCCUUUAAUCUAUUUUUAAACAUUCAAUCAUCUUGAAUGUCAUUCACUUCACAAUAAACAGCGACUGUGCAGGCCAGUCAGCCCUACUGAAGCACGAAGACAUUGCUUUCCAAAACAUCCUCAGUGGUCUUGACCCACUUCUCUCUGUCAUGCAGUGACUGAUCUUCUUAGGACUUGGAAUAAGGACAGUUUUGACAACCCAGCACCCUCUUUUGAUCAAAACAAAUAGUUAGACCAUCUCCAAUACUAAGUAUCACCAUAAAAAGAGCCAAACGAACACAGAGACAGACAGAAUGGUAGAUAUGACAUCUCAGCUUUCCUCUGUGUAUUUAAAAUCCAAGGCAGCCAUACUGCCGCACACUUCUGAGAUCCAUACCCCAUGUUCUUCAGUGCGCUCUGGCUGCAUGAGCUGUGAGGAGUCCUGCUCCAGCAGGAGCCUUGGUCUUCUGAGCACUUCAGGUCACGUGUGCCCACAGAACCCAGAGGCAGGAGACUGCACAUGCGGAGCCUGGGAAACUGGGGAGCCAGCGAGUGCAGCCAGGACAGAGGCAAAGGAUGGCACUGGUAGAGCCAGGUGAGGGUUCUAGAACUUUCCCUUGAUUCGGGGGCAUAUCUUGCAGCUGCAGUCGACACUAGGGCUUCUCUCUAAGUUUAUUUAAAUGGUAAUACAAAAGAUGAGACAUCAGGAGUUUACUAAGCACAGACUGAAGGGCUAAUUGUAUCUCAGUUCUGUAUGUAGCUUUAGAAAAUGUGAGUUUGAGUCCUCAUCUGCUUCAGUACAGAAGAUUCUAGAACACACCCUCAAAGCUACAAUAACUCAUAAAUUUUUUAAAAUAUGUUUUUAUUUAAUCUUCAAAAAUUUCAUACAAUAUAUUUGGAGUAUAUUAUUCCCUUCCCUCAACUCCCUAAACACCCAACUUCAUGUUCUUGAUUUCUCUUUUAUAAAACAAACAAAUAAAAAACAUAGAAUCCAAUUUGUGUUGAGUAACUCCUGGGCUCAGGGCCUGUCUUGGAAUUCAGUUAAUAUACCAGGUAUCACUUCAUUUGAAGAAAACUGACUCUCCUCACCCAGCAACAAUCAAACGACUAUAACUCUUGGCUUGGGUGAGAAUUCAUGUCAACAUUCCUUCCUCCAUGCUGGGAUCUUUGAGCUUAAGCUUAUGAAGCUCUUGUGGUUUAAAAUCAAACAAAAUUGUGACACUGUGCACCAGACGCCCAGGAACACAGAGUAGUGUAGUCACAGUGUGCAGCCUCCACAACCACCUCUCAAGGUUGACGCUUUGUCCACUUUAGCCAGUUCUCUUCCCUGUCCCAGCCACAUCAGAAACUCUUAUUUUGUUCUAGUUCAUUUAAAUCUGUACUUGUGUGUGUAUGUAUUUGAGACCUGGUAUGUAAGCAUGUACUUUGUAUGUGUACCUGUGGGGGGGGCAGCAGGAGGUGAACCUUGGAUGUUAUUUUUUGUAUACUAUCUUCCUUUUAUUUUUGAGAUAAGAUCUUUUGCUGUUCUGGAGGUCACCAAUUAUGGAGGUUAGGUUACGAUACUUUGGAUGAGAAAUGUCCCUCUGUCGUCUUGGACAUUUGAACCCUUGUGCCCAGUUGGUGACACUGUUUGAGAGGUUUAGCAGGAACAAUCUUUUCGGAGGAGGUAUGCUUCCAGAAGUCUGUUUUAAGAGCUUAAAAACUUGUGCCAUAGUGAAUUUUGAAUUCGUUCUCUGUUUUAUGCUGACAGUUUAAGAUGUAAGCCCUGGGCUUUCUGCUCCUGCCUCUGUGCUUUUGCUCCACCAUCAUAGACUCUACUUCUCUGGAAUU
rnacentral:sRNA from 1 species